rnacentral:miRNA from 1 species
CGGAGUCCACGGUGCUCUCA